UUGCAUUUAGGUAGGGAAAGGUGUCAAUGUUUUCAUUUAUAUAUAAACAAUAUUGCACUUGUCCCGGCCUAUAAGCGA
rfam:Lucilia cuprina strain LS Scaffold233, whole genome shotgun sequence.